UCACAAUGAUUACAAACUUAGCUCACUUUGAACCAAUGUGAAACGAUACGAACGACUGAGUGAC
ensembl:snoRNA SNORD29 Small nucleolar RNA SNORD29